GAUGAACGCUAGCUACAGGCUUAACACAUGCAAGUCGAGGGGCAGCACAGUGUAGCAAUACACGGGUGGCGACCGGCGCACGGGUGCGUAACGCGUAUCCAACCUUCCCGUUACUCUUGGAUAGCCUUCCGAAAGGGAGAUUAAUACAAGAUGGUAUUCAAAUUUCGCAUGUUAUUUGAAUUAAAGAUUUAUCGGUAACGGAUGGGGAUGCGUGACAUUAGAUAGUAGGCGGGGUAACGGCCCACCUAGUCUACGAUGUCUAGGGGUUCUGAGAGGAAGGUCCCCCCACACUGGAACUGAGACACGGUCCAGACUCCUACGGGAGGCAGCAGUGAGGAAUAUUGGUCAAUGGUCGGAAGACUGAACCAGCCAAGUAGCGUGAAGGAUGAAGGUUCUAUGGAUUGUAAACUUCUUUUGUUUGGGAAUAAAGUGAGGGACGUGUCCCUUUUUGUAUGUACCAUUCGAAUAAGCAUCGGCUAAUUCCGUG
rnacentral:rRNA from 1 species